rnacentral:rRNA from 1 species
AUUGAACGCUGGCGGCAGGCCUAACACAUGCAAGUCGAGCGGAUGAAGGGAGCUUGCUCCUGGAUUCAGCGGCGGACGGGUGAGUAAUGCCUAGGAAUCUGCCUGGUAGUGGGGGAUAACGUCCGGAAACGGGCGCUAAUACCGCAUACGUCCUGAGGGAGAAAGUGGGGGGUCUUCGGACCUCACGCUAUCAGAUGAGCCUAGGUCGGAUUAGCUAGUUGGUGGGGUAAAGGCCUACCAAGGCGACGAUCCGCAACUGGUCUGAGAGGAUGAUCAGUCACCUUGGAACUGAGACACGGUCCAGACUCCUGCGGGAGGCCGCAGUGUGGAAUAUUGGGCAAUGGUCGAGAGCCUGAUCCAGCCAUGCCGCGUGUGUGAAGAAGGUCCUCCGAUUGUAAAGCACUUUAAGUUGGGAGGAAGGGCAGUAAGUUAAUACCUUGCUGUUUUGACGUUACCAACAGAAUAAGCACCGGCUAACUUCGUG